AUGAGUGCAAGAGCUUGGGUAGUAGCAUCAAGCAUAGGAGCUGUGGAAGCCUUAAAAGACCAAUUUGGUGUAUGCAGGUGGAACUAUAUUUUUAGAUCACUUCAUCAACAUGCUAAGAAUAAUAUCAGAUCUUAUACUCAGGUUAAGAAAUUGUCAUCUUCUUCUUCUGCUGUUUCCAACAAGGUGAAAAGAACCAAGGAAGAAUCUAUGAAUAAAGUCAUGGAUUUGAAUUGCUGGGGUCCUAGCACUGCAAGGUUUUGA
rnacentral:lncRNA from 1 species